UUAAUAUUUGUUUUAAACAGAUUCAGACAGAUGACAUGGUAAUGCAAGAGUUUAUUGUAUACCUCCCGCAAGGACUCUCCAAAGAUAAAUCUUCAAAGGGCCGUGAGGACAGCCUCGCGGAAGCAACGGGUAAGGUACUCGGAAUGGGUUAAUGAUGUACAUUCAGAUGAAUAUGCAUUAUAACUUUUAAUGAUCCUUCCGCAGGUUCACCUACGGAAA
rnacentral:misc_RNA from 1 species